rnacentral:rRNA from 1 species
UUUGGUGGCGAUAGCGAAGAGGUCACACCCGUCCCAUGCCGAACACGGAAGUUAAGCUCUUCAGCGCCGAUGGUAGUUGGGGGCUUCCCCCUGUGAGAGUAGGACGCCGCCAAGC